rnacentral:lncRNA from 1 species
AGCACACAAGCAAACAAAAGGGUAAGCUAGAUAAACAAACAACAAUCAUAUAGCACAAUUUAUCAGUAUCAUUAUGUUAUUUAUUAAGAGUCAAAGACAUACAAUUCUAACCAUGCAUCAAGUACUCAACACGACUCAUCCAAAUUUGUAUAAUUGUCGAACUAUUGGUAGUCUUUACACUUGUAUAGUUCAACUGGCACUCCC